AGAGUUUGAUCCUGGCUCAGGAUGAACGCUAGCGGCAGGCCUAAUACAUGCAAGUCGGACGGGAUUGGAGAGCUUGCUUUCCAUGAGAGUGGCGCACGGGUGCGUAACACGUANGNNACCUNCNNUNAUCUGGGGGAUAGCCUCUCGAAAGAGAGAUUAACACCGCAUAACAUCAUCGGACAGCAUUUUCUGAUGAUCAAAUAUUUAUAGGAUUAAGAUGGGCAUGCGGAACAUUAGCUAGUUGGUAAGGUAAUGGCUUACCAAGGCUACGAUGUUUAGGGGAUCUGAGAGGAUGACCCCCCACACUGGUACUGAGACACGGACCAGACUCCUACGGGAGGCAGCAGUAAGGAAUAUUGGUCAAUGGGCGCAAGCCUGAACCAGCCAUGCCGCGUGCAGGAAGACGGCCCUACGGGUUGUAAACUGCUUUUGUACCGGAAUAAACCUUGAUACGUGUAUCAAGCUGAAUGUACGGUAAGAAUAAGGAUCGGCUAACUCCGUGCCAGCAGCCGCGGUAAUACGGAGGAUCCAAGCGUUAUCCGGAUUUAUUGGGUUUAAAGGGUGCGUAGGCGGCUUUUUAAGUCAGGGGUGAAAGACGGUAGCUCAACUAUCGCAGUGCCCUUGAUACUGAAGAGCUUGAAUGGACUAGAGGUAGGCGGAAUGUGACAAGUAGCGGUGAAAUGCAUAGAUAUGUCACAGAACACCGAUUGCGAAGGCAGCUUACUAUGGUUUAAUUGACGCUGAGGCACGAAAGCGUGGGGAUCAAACAGGAUUAGAUACCCUGGUAGUCCACGCCCUAAACGAUGAAUACUCGCUGUUAGCGAUACACAGUUAGCGGCUAAGCGAAAGCGUUAAGUAUUCCACCUGGGGAGUACGCCCGCAAGGGUGAAACUCAAAGGAAUUGACGGGGGCCGGGUGGAGGUCGCUAGAUGGUCAGGGCAUGGUGGAGGUCGCUAGAUGGUC
rnacentral:rRNA from 1 species